UACGAAGGGGGCUAGCGUUGUUCGGAAUUACUGGGCGUAAAGCGCGCGUAGGCGGUGAUCUUUGUCAGAGGUGAAAGCCCGGGGCUCAACUCCGGAAUUGCCUUUGAAACGGGAUCGCUUGAGUCCGAGAGAGGAUGGCGGAAUUCCUAGUGUAGAGGUGAAAUUCGUAGAUAUUAGGAAGAACACCAGUGGCGAAGGCGGCUCACUGGCCCGAUACUGACGCUGAGGCACGAAAGCGUGGGGAGCAAACAGGG
rnacentral:rRNA from 1 species